UACGGGGGGGGCAAGCGUUGUUCGGAAUUACUGGGCGUAAAGGGCUCGUAGGCGGCCAACUAAGUCAAACGUGAAAUCCCUCGGCUUAACCGGGGAACUGCGUCUGAUACUGGAUGGCUUGAAUCCGGGAGAGGGAUGCAGAAUUCCAGGUGUAGCGGUGAAAUGCGUAGAUAUCUGGAGGAAGACCGGGGGCGAAGGCGGCAUCCUGGACCGGCAUUGACGCUGAGUGAGCGAAAGCCAGGGGAGCAAACGGG
rnacentral:rRNA from 1 species